rnacentral:tRNA from 1 species
UGGCUCAGUUGGUAGAGCAUGGUGCUUGCAAAGCCUGAGUUGUGGGUUCCAUUCCCAU